rfam:Triticum aestivum genome assembly, contig: Triticum_aestivum_CS42_TGACv1_scaffold_117613_2AS
CAAGUACUCCCUCCGUCCGGAAUUACUUAUCAUCAAAAUGGAUGUGUCUAGAACUAAAAUACAUCUAGAUACAUCCAUUUCAAUGACAAGUAUUUUCGGACGGAGGGAGUACAAG